rnacentral:misc_RNA from 1 species
GCUAGUGGACAGAGCAGGGGAGCGUGAACUAGCUUUCAUCAAGCCCGACAUGAAUCACCAUUUACCUCCAGGGCAAGAUACUUUGAUACCGUCCCGCCACCAUGACCCGCUGGUCUGGUGCCACGCCCCGAGACGACACACUAUGCAUAAAGGUGUGCAGAGAUGCUUCCCCCGGCCCUUCAUGGAUAACCUGCGUCCACUACAGUUCCGCGCACCGGAUGAGCCAAGCAGCCUGGUUGGUGGCUUAAGAAUCGGCCCUCGUGACGUAGCGCCACCCUAUUGGCCGCCGCUACCUCUCGCUCCUCCCUCCAUGCAUCCUCCACCAAUCGGCGCGCUCCCUACCGCAAUGGCUCACGACGAAGAAAGCGAUUGCUUCAUGCUAGGAGAAAAGCUGUCGAAGAAACCGAAACGGAUCAGAACAAGAGUAGACGCCGGAGAGCCAAGGAACUCUUACUCGGCCUUCAGUAGUUUACCCAACUUGUGUGGUGUUAGUGUUAAUGCAGUCAGGCCGGGAAGUGCUCCUAACCUCUUCAGUGCAAGUCAACCCUUUUGUGGACUACCAUUUGUGAACUAUUUCAACCCCCCACCCACGGUGGGUUCGCGCGGUAUGCUAAGUGAGUUGUUCGGCGCCCACACCAAGCCUGUGGCGCCCUGCCCGCCUGAAGACACAGUGUCAACCAUGGGUGUAUUGGACAAAGUGACAAGCUCUAGCGUGCAUAGUGCUGAUGCAGUGAACUCGGUGAUUCGGGGACCAGAGCCAGAUAACGUGCUCUUACGUGAAAUCCUUCAGGGACGUAAACGGGACCUUCUUACUAUGGAGGAGAUUGAGGCUGCCCGCUCCUUACACAACAAUAACAAUAGUUACAAGGGGGCGACGGACUCUGUGGAGGCCAACAAUGAGGAGCCUAACGCGGGCAGAGACGAGAACAGUGUGUCUGCGGAAGACGCGCGGUGUGAGUCUGAGGUGGAGGAGACCAUGAGUCAGAACAGUCCGCGCACUGACUCCCCAGAACCUAGGAAACGUCUGGAGAAUAUAGUGAGUGUGAUCCGUUCCUCGCCCACCCCCAACACAACCGUCAAUGGGUGCAAGAAGCGGAAAUUGUACUUGCCACAACAACACGAGACACGACCCAACUAUGACUCACAAAACGAGGAAGGCGAGGCUGCGACUGAGCCUGAUAAUAAGACGAGACGACUUGAAGACGAUGAGCAGGUGGAGUCUCGGGUGGCGGAGUCUGGUGAGGAGGGGGGUUUACAGAUUGACCUGAGUGUGAGGCGACGGUCCCCGGAGCCACAACGACCCCCCUCACCCAAACCUCCCACCUCCACCUCCUCAAACGACUCCAACGACGCCUCUUCCUACCUCCUGGAUUAUGCCCAGCGUUUAAUCCGUAACCAAGAGGCGCGAUUACAGAGGGAAAACGACAUGAAGAACACCGACUUGAAUGAGAAACUGCAGCUCUUGCGAAACUUAAGUUUAGGGUCUCAGGUGACGGACUUGGAGGGCCUGGCCGACGUGCUCAAGACGGAGAUCACCGCCUCCCUAGCCGUCAUCAUCGACACCAUAGUCAACAAGUAUGUACAGCAAAGAAAACUGCUCACCAAACAGGCGGAGGUGGCCGCUGAGCAGCUCAAUCGGGACAUUGCCUCGCAGCUCAUGGAACGGUCCCGCUCCCCACGUUCUCACAAGAUGCUGGAUCGAGGGCCUCCCAACAUGCCCAGACUCAACGGCAUGCCCGCCCCCCACGGACCUCUCAACCUCUCACCCUACCCAGGCUCUGAAAACAACCUCAACAACCUCAAUCUACCACACCUACGACCACCUCUCUACAAACCCCCACAUGGGUUCUUCCACGGCAACUUGCCUCCCAUGGGCGGGAUGAUCCCUAGCGGGCAGACCUCCCCCUUCGGCGGGAUGGAGCCAGAGCAGGAUGAGGCCCUCCCGCUAGUGGUUACACCUAAGAAGGUGAAGCGACAUAAGGUGACGGAUUCUCGCCUAACGCCCCGCACGGUUGGCCGCCUCUUGGAGGACUACCCCCGUUACGGACCCCUGCCAGGGAUGGGUGGGCAGACGUCCCCUCGCAGCUCCCCUCCCCCACCGCCACCCAGCCACCACCCGCACCAUCGGCCCACCUCCUUCCCCCAACCCCCACCCUUGUUGCCAGUAUCACUGCCCACCUCCGUGGCCAUCCCCAACCCAUCUUUGCACGACACCAGUCUACUCUAUCCCAGCUACUAUGGGCACCGGGCGUCUUCUCCCAUGGACGGCCGGCGGGAGGAGUCUCCUGCAGGUCCUCCGCCCCCACACCCUCACCCGCUGCUGCAUCCGGCGCUCCUGGCAGCCUCCUCACCGGACUCCUUCUCACGCUUCCUGCACGGCGACCACGACCGCGCCUCAGAUUGUUCGCCAGCAGACCCACACUACGACGGAGUCCAGCCUACUAUAUCCUUUUAUUCACCUGAACAUCGUGCGGCAGUCGAGAGGAACAUGCGCGCGAGCGGACCGUUCAACAUCUUCCCUAAUGAAAGGUCAACCGGCUUGAUCAGCCACCCCUGCGACACCUGGAGUUCUACUAUAUCCAAAUGGAGAAGUACGCGCGACAGUACCUGAGUGAGGGGGUGAAGAACGGAGAUGACAUUGCGGUCAACAUGGACGCGGAAAUCAUCCGUGCCCUUAACCUACACUACAACCGCAACAACCACUUAGAGAUCCCUGAGCACUUCAGAUAUGUGGUGGAGCAAACGAUGAAGGAAUUCUUCAAGGCAAUUCAGGAACAAAAGGAUACGGAACAGUCUUGGAAGAAAGCCAUUUACAAGGUGAUCGCGCGUCUCGACGAGACGG